UUCAUGCUCGGAAUCAUAGGCACGGAGAUGUUGUGGUCCAAGGUUCAAGUGAAGGAAGAGGAUUAUCGUACGAGAGAGAACAGUGGAACAUGAGAAGUGCCUUGCGUGAUCCAUGUGCUUGGGUCAUCCCGGUGCUCCUCUAUUCCUCCUCUGCUCAGCGACGUGGUCACUGCUGUGCUGCUGGAUGGUGGAAGCUGGUGCUUGACUGUGGGGGCACAGCAGAACCACUCCUCCAGCUGCCACUGCUGUUACCUCAUGCGACCGCUGCUAUUGAUAGGUACAUUCUUUUAUUCGUAAGUAAAGCCAUUGUCAAAACCAACAAUUUGCAUCAUCACUGAGCAUGAUUGCUACAUAAUUAGCAUGAGAUCUUUAGACAUGUGAAUGUCCAACUGCCAUUGUCAACGUGACAGUGAGAAGAACAUCGUUAUAGAGUAUCUUCCAAGUUAGAGAUGGCAUCCUGCAAGGUGUGGGCGUUCGUCAAGCUGUCGCGGGAGUCCGUCGUCAUGCUCUUCAAUAAGAUUUUGUACCUCUUCAUGCUCAUUGUCCUGACAAGCGACAUCCAAUAUGGGUAGAUUUUUGUUCAUUCACUGAGUAUCUGGUACUUACCGGCUACUCUUAUUACUUGACUGCUGAGCUCACAAUCAGAACGGCAAUUUGAUGAGAACAUUCUGAAGUAACUAAAUAAGCUUCCUUCCCUUUUAUUCUACAUGCUUUGAAUACUAACUAUAGCUGACAAAGCACUUUUUCAGCAUGUUCAUAGAGGCAUCGAAAGGUAUGCUCUCCAUGUCCCUCGAUGCUGCUAUCAGGUUAGAUUAGUUAAAGCUACACAUAAUAACUUUUGCUCUUUGCUCUAAUUCUCAUCUUGUUGAGGAUUAAUUUCUUGGCAAGCAGUUUGAUCAGAUAACUCUUUGUAGUGGUACAAUUUCCCAGUCACAAUUUUUUUCCUUUAUCCCCAAGGAUAAGUUGGAGUAUAAAAUUGAAAUCUGAAAUUGAAGUGGAUAUUGUUAGGCAGCGCAUAUUGUUGUAGAUCUAUGCCUGCCUGCACUAUGCACCAUUUCAUUCAGGCAGAUUGGAUGUAACAUAAAUUUAUUGUAACAUCCAGAAAAAUUAGCAAGCUAGCUCAAAAUACAUGGAUAUGCUAUUGAGUUAUCGGUUGUGAAAUAUUUGAAGCUGCCCAAAAGAGAAAUAGAGGUUCAGAGCCAUCACCCACUCAACCUGCAGAGAGUUGCAUGGGGAAAACUACCUUUAAUAUACAAGAGUUCCUUCUUGCACCUACACUAUAAAAAUAGGGAUAUGAAAGACAUUGGAUCAUAGUUCACUGAACAUUGUUUUACUCUUUGCUCCAUGCUAUUUAAAUUACAUAUUAUAGCAAUUAGAAUAUUCCUACGUGUCUGGCUAUGUCUUGCCUUGCUACUUGGGCGCCAUCGAUGUCCGUUUAUCGGUUUCUAUGCAGAUAAACAGAGCAAAAUACGUCAAGUGUCAUAAUAUUUGUACCUACUACUGAUACAUGAUUUUUUUUGCUGAAGCUCUCAAAGGUGUAGCAUGCAAGCUUUAUAAUAUAGGUUUGAUUUCAGAGUUGAUCUGUGGAUUAUGAUUGUAACUUGGUUCAUUUCUGCGACUGGAGUGACUGAACACAUGCAGCCCUGCAGGCGGACACCUCGAAACAGAUACCUCAAUGUCCUGGCAAGUUCUACUCCUGAAAUCAGCGUCUGUGGCUUGAGCAAAUGUCAUCGGCAUCCGGUGGUAGAUUUUUAAUGUAUCUUGUAUAAUGUAUGUAACCUGCUAAUUUUGCAAGGCAGUUUCUGAAAUGUAACUUCAAAUGACUUCCUUUCAUCACUUUUGAAAUAAGGAAAUCCGCGCAUCUA